rnacentral:rRNA from 1 species
UUCGGGGAGGACAGGUGGUGCAUGGUCGUCGUCAGCUCGUGUCGUGAGAUGUUGGGUUAAGUCCCGCAACGAGCGCAACCCUAUUGCUAGUUACCAUCAUUAAGUUGGGGACGUCUAGCGAGACUGCCAGUGAUAAACUGGAGGAAGGUGGGGAUGACGUCAAAUCAUCAUGCCCCUUAUGACCUGGGCUACAAACGUGAUACAAUGGCUGGAACAAAGGGAUGCGAAGCAGUGAUGUGGAGCGAAACCCAUAAAAACAGUCUCAGUUCGGAUUGAAGUCUGCAACUCGACUUCAUGAAGUCGGAGUCGCUAGUAAUCGCGGAUCAGAACGCCGCGGUGAAUACGUUCUCGGGGUUU